rnacentral:rRNA from 1 species
GAUCAAGCGACUAAGUGCAUCUGGUGGAUGCCUUGGCGAUCAUAGGCGAUGAAGGACGUGUAAGCCUGCGAAAAGCGCGGGGGAGCUGGCAAUAGAGCAUUGAUCCCGCGAUGUCCGAAUGGGGAAACCCACCUCUUUUGAGGUAUCCCUGGCUGAAUCCAUAGGCCAGCGGAGGCGAACCCGGCGAACUGAAACAUCUAAGUAGCCGGAGGAAAAGAAAUCAACCGAGAUUCCGCAAGUAGUGGCGAGCGAACGCGGAAGAGCCUGUACGUGAUAGCAGUCGUGUUAGAAGAACGGUCUGGAAAGGCCGGCCAUAGUGGGUGAUAGCCCCGUAUUCGAAAACACAAUUGUGGUACUGAGCGUACGAGAAGUAGGGCGGGACACGUGAAAUCCUGUCUGAAGAUGGGGGGACCAUCCUCCAAGGCUAAAUACUCAUGAUCGACCGAUAGUGAACCAGUACCGUGAGGGAAAGGCGAAAAGAACCCCGGGAGGGGAGUGAAACAGAACCUGAAACCGGAUGCAUACAAACAGUGGGAGCCUGGAAACGGGUGACUGCGUACCUUUUGUAUAAUGGGUCAGCGACUUACAUUCAGUAGCGAGCUUAACCAGAUAGGGGAGGCGUAGCGAAAGCGAGUCCGAACAGGGCGUUGAGUUGCUGGGUGUAGACCCGAAACCGGAUGAUCUAUCCAUGGCCAGGAUGAAGGUGCGGUAACACGCACUGGAGGUCCGAACCCACGUCUGUUGCAAAAGACGGGGAUGAGCUGUGGAUAGGGGUGAAAGGCUAAACAAAUCCGGAAAUAGCUGGUUCUCUCCGAAAACUAUUUAGGUAGUGCCUCGAGAUUACACUGACGGGGGUAGAGCACUGUUAUGGCUAGGGGGUCAUUGCGAUUUACCAACCCAUGGCAAACUCCGAAUACCGUCAAGUGCGUCCUCGGGAGACAGACAGCGGGUGCUAACGUCCGUUGUCAAGAGGGAAACAACCCAGACCGCCAGCUAAGGUCCCAAAUGACAUGCUAAGUGGUAAACGAAGUGGGAAGGCCAAGACAGCCAGGAUGUUGGCUUAGAAGCAGCCAUCAUUCAAAGAAAGCGUAAUAGCUCACUGGUCGAGUCGUCCUGCGCGGAAGAUGUAACGGGGCUCAAGCAUGUAACCGAAGCUGCGGAUGCGUACUUGUACGCAUGGUAGGAGAGCGUUCUGUAGGCCUGCGAAGGUGGUGGUGUAAACCCUGCUGGAGGUAUCAGAAGUGCGAAUGCUGACAUGAGUAGCGAUAAAGCGGGUGAAAGUCCCGCUCGCCGAAAACCCAAGGUUUCCUACGCAACGUUCAUCGGCGUAGGGUGAGUCGGCCCCUAAGGCGAGGCAGAAAUGCGUAGUCGAUGGGAAACGGGUCAAGAUUCCCGUACCGGUUGUGAAUGCGAUGGGGGGACGGAGAAGGGUAGCUCAGCGGCCUGUUGGAAUAGGUCGUUUAAGCGUGUAGGAGUGGUCUCCUGGCAAAUCCGGAGAUCUUAUCUGAGGCGUGAUGACGAGGGUCUACGGACCUGAAGUGAGUAAUCCCAAGCUUCCAGGAAAAGCCUCUAAGCUUCAGUUCACAACUGACCGUACCGCAAACCGACACAGGUGGGUAGGUAGAGAAUACCAAGGCGCUUGAGAGAACUCGGGUUAAGGAACUCGGCAAAUUGACACCGUAACUUCGGGAGAAGGUGUGCCCCGGUAGCGUGUAGGACUUCGCGUCCGAAGCGUGAUGGGGUCGCAGAGAAUAGGUGGCUGCGACUGUUUAAUAAAAACACAGCUCUGUGCCAACACGAAAGUGGACGUAUACGGAGUGACGCCUGCCCGGUGCCGGAAGGUUAAGUGAUG